rnacentral:rRNA from 1 species
UACGUAGGGUGCAAGCGUUGUCCGGAAUUAUUGGGCGUAAAGAGCUCGUAGGCGGUUUGUCGCGUCUGCUGUGAAAACCCGAGGCUCAACCUCGGGCCUGCAGUGGGUACGGGCAGACUAGAGUGCGGUAGGGGGAGAUUGGAAUUCCUGGUGUAGCGGUGGAAUGCGCAGAUAUCAGGAGGAACACCAAUGGCGAAGGCAGAUCUCUGGGCCGUAACUGACGCUGAGGAGCGAAAGCAUGGGGAGCGAACAGG